rnacentral:rRNA from 1 species
GACGAACGCUGGCGGCAGGCUUAACACAUGCAAGUCGAACGCACAGCCAGGGGAGUGGCAGACGGGUGGGUAACGCGUGGGGAGAGACCCACUUGUGCGGAAUAGCCCUGGGAAACUGGAAUUAAUACGGUAUACGGCCUACGGGGGAAAGAGAUAUCGGGGUAGGAUUGGCGCGCGUUGGAUUAGCUGGUUGGUAGGGUAAAGGCCUAGCAAGGCGACGAUCCAUAGCUGGUCUGAGAGGAUGAUCAGCCACAUCGGGACUGAGACACGGCCCAAACUCCUACGCAACGCAGGAGAGGGUGAUAGUGGACGACGGGGUCAGUCCUGACCCUGCCAUGCCGGGGAAGUUAUGAAGGCCUUAGGGUUGUAAUGUUCUUUCACCGAUGAAGAUAAUGACGGUAGUCGGUGAAGAAGCCCCGGCUAACUACGUG